GAGUUUGAUCCUGGCUCAGGAUUAACGCUGGCGGCGUGCCUAAUACAUGCAAGUCGAACGGAAGUACCUUCGGGUACUUUAGUGGCGAACGGGUGAGUAAUACAUAGGUAACCUACCCUUAAGACGAGGAUAGCCAUUGGAAACGAUGGAUAAAACUGGAUAGGAUAUAGAGGAAGAAUCUUUUAUAUUUAAAAGAGAGAUCUGCUUAAGGAGGGGCCUGUGGCGCAUUAGCUAGUUGGUGGGGUAAGGGCCUACCAAGGCGAUGAUGCGUAGCCGGACUGAGAGGUUGAACGGCCACAAUGGAACUGAGAACGGUCCAUACUCCUACGGGAGGCAGCAGUAGGGAAUUUUCGGCAAUGGGGGGAACCCUGACCGAGCAACGCCGCGUGAACGAAGAAGUUAUUCGUAAUGUAAAGUUCUUUUAUCAGGGAAGAAAGAGGAAUUUGACGGUACCUGAGGAAUAAGCUCCGGCUAACUACGUA
rnacentral:rRNA from 1 species